AAGCCAUGAUGAGGGCAUUGGUUGGUAUAACCCUUGAAACGCUCCCAUGCUUCACAAAAGCUUUCACCAGCCUUCUGUAAAAAACCAGAAAUCUCAUUUAUGAGUCU
rnacentral:snoRNA from 14 species